AGGCUUAACACAUGCAAGUCGAGGGGCAGCACGAGGUAGCAAUACUUUGGUGGCGACCGGCGCACGGGUGAGUAACGCGUAUGCAACCUUCCUUUUACAGGAGGAUAGCUUCCGGAAACGGAAAUUAAUACUCCAUACAAUUACGAAGUGGCAUCACUUUCAGAUUAAAGCUACGGCGGUAAAAGAUGGGCAUGCGUAACAUUAGCUAGUUGGUGAGGUAAAGGCUCACCAAGGCGACGAUGUUUAGGGGUCCUGAGAGGGUUAUCCCCCACACUGGUACUGAGACACGGACCAGACUCCUACGGGAGGCAGCAGUGAGGAAUAUUGGUCAAUGGGCGCAAGCCUGAACCAGCCAUCCCGCGUGCAGGAAGACGGCCCUAUGGGUUGUAAACUGCUUUUCUGAGGGAAGAAUAACGCUGAUUCGUUCAGUGGACGACGGUACCUCAGGAAUAAGCAUCGGCUAGCUCCGUGCCAGCAGCCGCGGUAAUACGGAGGAUGCUGGCGUUAUCCGGAUUCAUUGGGUCUAAUGGGUGCGUAGGCGGACUGGUAAGUCAG
rnacentral:rRNA from 1 species